rnacentral:lncRNA from 1 species
UAAUUGUAUUAUUGUAUAAAUAGAAUAAAUAAUGAAUUUUUUUUUUAAAAAGGUUUUGUUUUUUGGUUUUUUUUUUUUUUUAAAGUGAGAAUUUCUCACUUUUGGCUUUUUGUGGGGGUGGUGACUUUUGUAUGUGUUUUUUUUUUUUAAUUUUAAAGUAGAGACAAUUUCUUUUAAUUUUUUUUUUAAGAGACGAUUUCUCACUUAAUUUUUAAAAUCUUUUCUUGAAGAGACAAUUUCUCACUUUCAUUUUUUUUUUCUUUUUAAAAAUUGAUAAAAUUAAAAAUAGAUUUAGAAUUAUUUUUUAAAACUGCCGCACUCUUAUCAUAGCUUAUGGGCUCUCGACAGCCACCAUUUUUCUGCUUAUUUUGAAGUUGAUUGCAAGCAGGUUAAAUUUUCGAAAAUCACUCAUUCAUGAAAUUUUAAUAAGUUCCAAUAUACACCAAACACACAUAAUUUGGUUCGGUUCAUCCAGAACCAGAAAGCAUUAAAACUGAAUUGGGGUAGGGGUCGCGCGGACGCGAACCCCCUCUACCACAAAUUAUGACGUAGACUCUGCCACUUGGGCAGAUCUUAGGGCAGUGCCCCUCCUGAGUGCAAUGGAGGUCACUUCUCUAGGCCAUGGUCCUUCUUGAUCGACCAUACACCCCGUCCAGGUAAGUAUGGUCUAAAGGCCUAGCUCUUGCCUAUUUGUAGUUCAUUGUACCCCUCCUUAUUUGAACUCACUUCCGAUGUGGGAUUGAUUUGACAACUGCAGCUGCAGAACGGAUGGGCCGUUUAGAGUUUGGAACCCACCUGCCCUUGUGACACAUGUUUCACAAAUUCUCUCAAUAUUAAACUUGAUAGUUUGUAUUAGACAAGUCAAACUUUUUCAUUAAGUCAUGUACUAUUAUCUCCUACAAAUUAAAUUAAUUCUACAAUGAAUUCCUUUUAACUUUAAGGGUUAUUUGAUUUUGAAAAUUUAACUUUCUAUCAUCUUUUGGUCUUAUUUUAAUAAAAAUAUUCAUACUUUUUUCUUGUAAAAAUGAUUUUUCUUUUGAAAAAAUCCUAUACAAAAUUUUUCAUCAGACAAAUAAACUUCAAAUUAUGUAAAACUUAAUAUAGUCAUUUCAUUAAUUGAGUUCAAUAAUUUUUAAAAAUAAAAUAAAACUCAAAUUAUGAUAUAAUUAAUACCUGAAAUUUAUUAACAAAAAUUGAUUUAAAAUAACUAUAUUGUUUUUUUUUUACUUAGAAUCAUUAUUUUUCCUUUUUUUUUUUUCACUAGACAAAUAAACUUCAAAUUAAACAAGAUUUAAUACAUUGGAUCAUUAAUGAGUUUAGUAAAUUUUUUCAAAUUAUUUGAAACUCAAAUAACUAACCCGUUAAUACUAAAAUUUUGUGGAUAAAACUUGAUUCAUGAUGACUCUAUUUAUUUAUUUUAUACAUAAUAAUAUUUUUAUAAAUUUUCUCACCAUAAAAAUAAAUUUCAAAUUAAGCAAAACUUUGUAUUAAACGUAUUAAUGGAUUUAAUAAUUUUUAAAGUUAAUUUAAUACUCAAAAAAUAAAUAUAAUCACUAAAAAAAUAUAAUUGAUAAAAAAAUGAUAUAUUGUAAAUCAUGAAUUUAUUCUUUCUUUUAGACCCGUAAAUCUUUUACACCCAUAAUUGUAUCUUUUACAUUUUCUCACUAAAGAAAUAGAUUUUAAAUUAAAUAAAACAUAAGUAAUUAUUUAAAUUCUUCAAUUUUUAAGAAUAAUUUGAAAUUUAGAAAUUUGAUCAAAUAAAUUAAAGUAUAGCAUGUAAUAAAAGACCUUGGUUCACUUAUAUUUUAAAAAACUUAAACUUUAUUUGUUAUUCAUUCAUUUUAAAUAAAAUAUCAUUAACAAUUAUUAUAUUUAAAUUAUUAUUAUUAUUAGAAAAUAUAUGAAGAUAUGAAUAUCCUUAUAUUUAUAAAAAAAUAUAGUUUAUGAUUUUAUUAAAAGCUGUUUAUUUAUAAUUUCAAAAUUAUUUCAUUUUUAAUAUGAUUUAAAUUAAAUUAAAUUAAUAUUAUAUAAAUUAAAUUUACAAUAUUUUUAUAAAAUCAAAAUAUAAAAAAUUUAAAACGAGUUAUCUAAUAAUUUAUUUUAUUUUAUUUUUAUUUUAAAAAUCGUUUUAAAAAACAACUUUCCAAAUACCCUUAUUUUUAUAGAACAUGAAUUAUUUUUUUUCUUCAACUUAAAAACACGUAUCCCUAAAUUUGUUCAUGUGUUUCUCUCUUCCCCCUAUUUAAAAAUAGAAAUGAAAGCAUUCUCUCUUUUUGUCUAAAAUAAAAUUGUUACAUAAAAAGUAUGGAUAAUGUGCGCUACAACGUAAAAAUAAUUAAAUCACUAAAAAAGUUAAUUAGCAAGAGUUUCUUAAACUUGUUAUAUUGAAUUUUCCGAGGAUAGAUGUUAUAAUUAUUGUCUUCAAAUUUCUCAGGACCAUUAAUGAAUAGAAGAUUAGAUAUAUUAUUAUUAUUAUUAUUUUUUAGUACACUUUAUUAAUUUUUGCUGCAAAAAUAUUUUUUAAAAAAUCAAUAUUUCCAUUAGUCAUAUCUCUUGCACCACAUAAAUGAUAAAUCUAAUCUUGUAAAAAUAAAAUAAAAUAAUUUCCUAUAAAUGAUUUUUCAUGCCUAAAUUAUAAUCAUAUAAUAAUAAUAAUAAUAAUAAUAAUUGUAUGAAAAAUGUAUUUAAAAUGCAUAAUAUAAUUCCAUUAGCCUAGAAUAUUCACUAAUAUUUCUAUAAAAAAAUUAGAAAAAUUUUGGAAAAUUGACAGAAAUAAAUUAUUUUUGAAAGAGGUCAUGGGCCCAAAUCUUGGCAAUCUUAUAAAAAAGGUAGAAGAAUUUAGGGAGAAUUGUGUUUUGGGCCUAGUUGGGCCCAAAAAUUAAUAUUUGGUCCAUAUAACUUUCAUAAUUGAUGGAAAUGAUAUAAGAUGUUAAAAGACCAAUAUAUCCUUCAAAUUUCUAUACAUUACCUUUUAAGGAUAUAAAACAGUGAUGGAAUAAAAUACCCUCUGACCUUUCACAUAAGCUUUUUUUGUCUUUAUUACACCACUAUUCAUGCAACCAUAAUAAUUUUAUUUUAACAAUUUGGAUUUUUCAUUGUUUUUAAAUUUUUUUUAUAAAUAAUUGAAAAUCAGCAUUAUUUUCUAUUUUAAAUUAUAAAUAAAGAAAAAUUAUGUUCAAAAAAUAUUUUAAAAAAUAUUUUCUAAAAAAUAGUAAUAUGAUUUAUAUUUUUUAUAUUUUCUUUUUUGAAAAAACAUUUAAUUAAAAAAUGAAAACUAUUUUUAAAAAUAAAAAUUGAAAACCUUGUUUAGUACUAUUUUUUAUAUGAAAAUAAUAAUAAGAAUUAAAUUUCAUUCAUUGAUUAUCCAUUUUUAUUUUUUUCCAUUAGUUAUUUUAAUAAUAAAAAAUAUAUAUAGUAUGUUUACAAUUAAAUAAAGAAAUUGAUCAAUUUUGUGUUUUUUAUGGGACUAUUUUCACAUGAAAAAUAAUUAAAUAACUAAAUUAUAUAUAUUUAUUACUCCUUUUACUUUUAUUUUCUUUAUUUAUUUUUUGUCUAAUAGAAAAUUUUAAUAUAUCCAUAAUUAACAAAGUAAUAAAUCAAUUGUGCACAUUUUAAUCUAUUAAAAUAAAUUAAUUUCUAAUUUAAAUAAAUAAAAUGAAAUAAGUAAAUAAAUUUGGGGUUAUUUCUAUUUUUUAACAUAUUUUUUAUGAUUAAAUAAAUUUUUUAUUUUUUAUUUCUUUAAUUCCAAAAAUAAAAUGAAAUAAAUAAAUAAAUUUGGAAUUUUCCAACUGAUCUUAUAUUCAUAUUUCUCAUGGUUAAAUAAAUUUUUUUAUUCUUUUUUCUUUAUUUCCAAAAAUAAAAGGAAAUAAAUAAAUAAACUUGGCUUAAAUAAUAGUUUUUAAGUAAUUUCUUUGUCUUAUUUUUAAUUAUAUUUUGCAUUGAAAAUAAAAUAAAAUAACAUUUUAUUUGAGUCACUGUACAAGGUAUUUACACUAAGUGUACAUGACAAAUAUAUUAACUGUACAAGGGUGUACAAGACUAUUAUUUGUGAAGGAUUUUAAGUGAUUCUGAAAAACUUGUUUGUUUAUUUCCCCUAACCGAUAAUAAAUGACAUUCUUUACACACAUUGGUUAGGCAUACAUUCAUCUCAUGCACUUUAUCUAACUUGUAUAUGGUCAUUUGAAUAGGUACCUUACUUAUGAUAAUUGUAAAACAAAAUUAUACAACAAUUUUUCUUCUUUUUUAAAACAAAACCAAUGCAAAUAUGGUUAACCAACCUAUUAUCAGAUAUUCAUGAGAUGAUAUAUGAAAUUUGAGUUAUUGUACAAGGAUAUUAUACUAACUGUACAAGACAAAUUUACUAAUUGUACAAGGGUGUACAAGACUACUUUUUGUUAAGGAUUUCAAAUUAUUUUAAAAAACUUUCCUAUUUUUUUCCAUUCAAAUAUUUUUUUUCCCCACUCAAAUUCUCUCACUCAAGAAUUGUUUCAAAAUUUCUUUUUAAAUUUCAUCAUCAAAUUUUUGUAAUUGUAUAUUUUGUUUUUGUAGUUUUAGUAAUGUUAUUUCUUUCUACUAUUUUUUUUUUUUGUGAAAUUUUAUCCAAAUGAAUCUAUAUUUAAAAUUAUAAUCAUAUUUAUCAAAUUUUUUACUAAGAUUAUCUUUAAUUCUUUUAAUAUAUUUAUACUCAUUUAUUUAAAAAACGAAAAACUAAUUUUUUUUGGUAAAUAUGUUCUAUUACCUUUCAAGUAAAAAAAUUAGAUAAGUUUGAAAUUCAAUAAAAAAAAUUAAAUACCACUUUCAAUAAUAUUUAGAUAAAAUUUUAUAUAAUAUAUUUUAUUUGAAAUUUAAUUUCUAAAGUUUUACUAAAAAAUUGUACUGACAAUUUUCUUGUUGUGAAUCAAAAUACUUUACAUUAAUCUAUCUAGAUAAGAAAAAUUAUUAAUAUAAUAUUAGAACUUCAUAUCUUAAUUAUUUUUUUCAACAAAUUUAUCUUUUUAAAAAUUUGAAAAUAAAAACAUUAAAAAUUAAUAUAUAUAUAUAUAUAUAAUAAAGUGAAGUGAUAGUCAAUUUAAAUUUUUUUUAAAAUAUGGUUAAUGUAGAAAAUAUAAAAAAUAAUUAAAAAUAAGAGAAAAAUAUAAAUGAAAGUGUAAUAUAAAUUUAAAAUAAAAAAUAAAAAAUUAAACUAAAAGAUAAAUACAAAAAGAUAAAAAAUAUUUCGAUGAAAAAUCUCAAAAUUUUUAUCAUUGCUUAUAAUAAGAGCAAAAAGAUUCAAUAUCUUUGAAAAUGAAAAAUAAAAAACCAUUAUUACUUUUUAUUUGAUAUAAAAUAGAAAUAUAGAUUGGAAGAAAAAAAAAAUAGAAAUGAGUAAUACUUAAUAGGGAAUAAAAAAGGGAAAAAAAAGACACAAAAAAAUUGAAAUUAACACUUAUUUGUGCCUAUAUAAGGGUUAAGGGUAUUUUAGGGAUUAAUGAAGGACAAUAUCCUUUAUCUUAAUUUUUAUACUUUGUUUGGGUCUUGGCUUAAAUAUGCAUGAUAUAUGGACGAAAUAUUAAUUUUUGGGUGCAACUAAACACAAUUCUCCCAAGAAUUUAUUGGUAGGCCAUGGGUAGGUCGGGCAGAGCCUCAUAGGCUAGGCUAUGGGUUACGGACGGGGCUGGGCUACAAGCUGUAGCUUGAUGGGCUCUCUACAGACUACAAGUACAACCACCAUUUCUCUCUCAUAUGAAUGCUCUCCACGCGGCCCAAUGAGGUCUGGCGUUGGUCAAAUCUAUAAGACCUUGCACCACAUGAUAAUCUCACAAGAUUACUCAAAAAGCAAAGGCUUAGAGUGAACAUUGGGUUGUUGUGCCCAUAAGUAGGGUUUGUUGGAUUACAUACCAAAAUCCCUGAAAAAGCCCACUUAAGUCCUGUAAGUAGAAACUUAAUUUGAUGGUAAGCAGCUUAAAUUUUCAAAAAGCAUCUUUAAUGAAAUUUUUGAAGGCUUUCAGUACACACCGAACACAAUUAAUUUGUUUCUUCAAGAAAAAAUUUGAACUGUAUUGGGGUAGGGGCCGCGCGGACGCGAACCCCCUCUACCACAAAUUAUGACGUAGACUCUGCCACUUGGGCAGAUCUUAGGGGAGUGCCCCUCCUAUGUGCAAUGGAGGUCACUACCCUAGGCCAUAGUCCUUGUUGAUCGACCAUAGACCCCGUCCAGGUA